CUUCAAUUGCUACAUGUUAACAACAUUGUAACAGGAUUAAACUAUAGUGUGUUUGCACUCAUUCCCCAGGGACCAACUCAACAAAAGCCAUGGCGGCCAUAUUGAUAUCAGUUCCAGACAAAAGCGUCCAAUUAAAAUUCUUUUGAAUUGGAACACCAACAUGACGGCUGUGACGUCAUGUGCAAACGCUCUAUAGACAUCGGUAGUCAAUGCCGUUACAAUGUUUUAAAGGUACGUUUGCACAGAACGAUUAAUCGGGCCGAUUCAGCUUUAAUUAAAUGAUAUACGAAAAAUAAGCUGUCAACGUCAUCUGAAGACAUCGUCAACUGAUAACAUUCGUCAUUAACAUUCGGCAAAACCUGAAAUCGGUCCGAUUCAUCGUUGUGUGUGAACUCAGCUUAAGGCACUUAAUGCCGAUUUACAUGAGCUACACAACUUUUGCCUGAAACUGUCGCAUGCAAACUGCUUACAACUUGAGUUGUACUGUGUAAAUCAAGCACACAAACUCGCCUAGGUUUUCGUACAACUCAACUUGUACGCGACAGUUUUAGGCAAGCGACAGUUUUAGGCAAGAGUUGCAUGCGACAGUUUUAGGCAAGAGUUGUGUAGUGUGUAAAACAGCCUUUACACUUGCAAUUUGAGCUGCGAUUAUGGUACAUAAUGGGUACCGUACUCAGAACAUUCAUGACUCGUGUUGUUACUGAUCUGCAAACAAGUUGCAGCAAGGUUGUUGCCAAGCCGAUAUCGGGUUGUGUUCGCACUGCUUGUUCCCAGUUGUUGCGACAAGUGUGGAACGAGUUGUAUCACCUAGCUUGAUUCAAGGUUGGUGCCGAGGACUGGAAGUUGUUCCAACAAGACAGUUGCUACGAACUUCUUGUCGUCGACUUGUUACGUGUAUCAGAUUAAGUUGGAACAACUUGUUGCGAGACUGUUGGCCUCAUCAACUUUGUUACAAGACAUGAUAACAACUUGUUCCAGACUUGUCAUAAACUGGGAACAAGCAGUGCGAACACACAUCUUGUUGCCAGGCUGUGAGAUAUCAUAGUUAAUAGAAGAGAUGGUUUGGAAACUCAUUAGAAUGACAAUAUAACUCAUUAUCUAUGUUAGUCAACGUUUAUUCAUAAAUCUGGCCUUAACCGUCACGUGCGUAUUGUAUUUUUGCCCAACUAACCAAUAGCAAUGCUUUAGGAAAGUUACCUAUCCAUGACUCGAACAAUAGGGUAAAUUGGAAAUUGCUAUUGGUGGAUUUGGCAAAAAUACAAUACACACGUGACGGUGAAG
rnacentral:lncRNA from 1 species